rnacentral:rRNA from 1 species
GACGAACGCUGUCGGCGUGCUUAACACAUGCAAGUCGAACGGAAAGGCCCUGCUUUUGUGGGGUGCUCGAGUGGCGAACGGGUGAGUAACACGUGAGUAACCUGCCCUUGACUUUGGGAUAACUUCAGGAAACUGGGGCUAAUACCGGAUAGGAGCUCCUGCUGCAUGGUGGGGGUUGGAAAGUUUCGGCGGUUGGGGAUGGACUCGCGGCUUAUCAGCUUGUUGGUGGGGUAGUGGCUUACCAAGGCUUUGACGGGUAGCCGGCCUGAGAGGGUGACCGGCCACAUUGGGACUGAGAUACGGCCCAGACUCCUACGGGAGGCAGCAGUGGGGAAUAUUGCACAAUGGGCGGAAGCCUGAUGCAGCAACGCCGCGUGCGGGAUGACGGCCUUCGGGUUGUAAACCGCUUCCGCCUGUGACGAAGCGUGAGUGACGGUAAUGGGUAAAGAAGCACCGGCUAACUACGUGCCAGCAGCCGCGGUGAUACGUAGGGUGCGAGCGUUGUCCGGAUUUAUUGGGCGUAAAGGGCUCGUAGGUGGUUGAUCGCGUCGGAAGUGUAAUCUUGGGGCUUAACCCUGAGCGUGCUUUCGAUACGGGUUGACUUGAGGAAGGUAGGGGAGAAUGGAAUUCCUGGUGGAGCGGUGGAAUGCGCAGAUAUCAGGAGGAACACCAGUGGCGAAGGCGGUUCUCUGGGCCUUUCCUGACGCUGAGGAGCGAAAGCGUGGGGAGCGAACAGGCUUAGAUACCCUGGUAGUCCACGCUGUAAACGGUGGGUACUAGGUGUGGGGUCCAUUCCACGGGUUCCGUGCCGUAGCUAACGCUUUAAGUACCCCGCCUGGGGAGUACGGCCGCAAGGCUAAAACUCAAAGGAAUUGACGGGGCCCCGCACAAGCGGCGGAGCAUGCGGAUUAAUUCGAUGCAACGCGUAGAACCUUACCUGGGUUUGACAUGGAUCGGGAGCGCUCAGAGAUGGGUGUGCCUCUUUUGGGGUCGGUUCACAGGUGGUGCAUGGCUGUCGUCAGCUCGUGUCGUGAGAUGUUGGGUUAAGUCCCGCAACGAGCGCAACCCUUGUUCACUGUUGCCAGCACGUUAUGGUGGGGACUCAGUGGAGACCGCCGGGGUCAACUCGGAGGAAGGUGGGGAUGACGUCAAGUCAUCAUGCCCCUUAUGUCCAGGGCUUCACGCAUGCUACAAUGGCUGGUACAGAGAGUGGCGAGCCUGUGAGGGUGAGCGAAUCUCGGAAAGCCGGUCUCAGUUCGGAUUGGGGUCUGCAACUCGACCUCAUGAAGUCGGAGUCGCUAGUAAUCGCAGAUCAGCAACGCUGCGGUGAAUACGUUCCCGGGGCU